rnacentral:lncRNA from 1 species
GGCUGAGCUUGGUGACUGUGGGAGUGGGGGUGGGGGCGGCAUGGGGGAAAUUGGGCGAAGGGAAGAGAAUGUGAGAUUACAUGGAUUAAAAAUGAAGUGAAAACGAGGGUUUAAAACAUUUUUUUUAUUUUUUUUUAAACCGACGAUCAAGGCAGAGGAAGCGCUCAGAUAAUGGACACGAUGUUUGGUAUUUUGUUUGUUGUUUUUUUUUUUCCCCCCCAAACAAAAGAAUGAGCCGCUCGCGCGUUUAUUGGGAGCCCCGCGAAACCCCGAAACCCGGGACGUUUUUCAUUAAUACUAUACAAACGGGUCACGUGACGGCAAUCCAAUGGCCGAGGGGCUUACAUUUCAAAAGGGGCUACCGCCGCCCAAUGGCCGGCCACGAUGCAUGCAAAUAAGACUGGCUUUUUUCACCGUGGAAUGCCAACUAUUCCAAGAUGGAGGCUGCGGUCGACAGGCUCGAUGCAAACGAAUACCAGUUUCCUUGCUGAUGAACCCGUCGCCUCGCACAUAACAGCGACUGUCAUUGUGACCCCUGGGAGGCACCGAGAAGUUUUCGUGAAAAGGCGACCCUACGGGGCCGACCGGAGAGGGCCGGCAGACCAAGGGAUGACCGAUGGGCUCCUCUUAUCUCCUCUGACGGGCACAGAAAUGCGAAGAAUGGGCGUUCAAGAUGGUCGAAGGGGCGGAGGCGCUCAGGGAGACGCUUGCUGUCCAGCAGUAUGGGCUUUGAGAGGAGAUAAGUCGAUGCUCCAACUUCAGGCGCAAGGCUCGUGGAUUGUGAUGUCAUACCUCCAUCGCCGAGCUGAGGUUUUACAGACCGUGAAUGAUGGUGCGUCGGCGGGACCUGCAGGUGACCCCGACAAAUGGAAAACGGUGAUUAAUUGA